rnacentral:rRNA from 1 species
UACAGAGGGUGCGAGCGUUGUUCGGAAUUACUGGGCGUAAAGCGCGCGCAGGCGGCCUUUUAAGUCCAUCGGUGAAAUGCCGGGGCUCAACCCCGUUGCAGGCCGAGGAUACUGGGAGGCUGGAGACACGUAGAGGCAAGCGGAAUUCCGGGUGUAGCGGUGGAAUGCGUAGAGAUCCGGAAGAACACCGGAGGCGAAGGCGGCUUGCUGGGCGUGAUCUGACGCUGAGGCGCGAAAGCGUGGGGAGCGAACAGG